rnacentral:rRNA from 1 species
UACGGAGGGUGCAAGCGUUAUCCGGAUUUACUGGGUUUAAAGGGUGCGUAGGUGGGUCUGUAAGUCAGUGGUGAAAUCUUCGAGCUUAACUCGGAAACUGCCAUUGAUACUAUAGGUCUUGAAUUAUCUGGAGGUAAGCGGAAUAUGUCAUGUAGCGGUGAAAUGCUUAGAUAUGACAUAGAACACCAAUUGCGAAGGCAGCUUACUACGGAUUGAUUGACACUGAGGCACGAGAGCGUGGGGAUCAAACAGG